AUUCAAGUAAUUUAAGUUAGAAUGUUAAUUUGUGGUAUUAAAAGUGUAUAUUACCUUGAAUU
rnacentral:tRNA from 1 species